AAAUGAAGGAAGCAUAAUAACAUGCACAGAAAUUGAUUGUCUAUAGGCUUGCCCUAUUUGAUGCCUUUCGGCUUUUAGUUGGGUGCAUGGUUCUGCAGCAAAACA